CACUGGGGAAAGAGUCUUCACAAGAAGGGGUGAUUCUGGACUUUCACCCGUGUCUUCGUAUAAGUGUCUGGGGCUUCUGCUGCUGGGAGAUACUGGCAUCUGAGCACGUGCUUGAAUGGAUGCUGUCCCCUUGAACGGCACUUCAUGGAGUGUUUCGAGUCCUGCCAAGUUAAAUUCAGGGCUGUAGACGAGGGAGUGACAUGUAAACACCUCUGGGAUAAUCCUUCAGUGGCGUUGGGCAAUGAGGCUGGAACUCCUUGACAGUUCCUACAUUUUAAUGUUUGAAGUUUCUGAAUGGAGGGGAAACUUUAGAGAGGAUUUUUCAAGAAUAAAAAUCUCUUGUUGGGACAAUCCAUUCUCUAUGACAUCAACAAAAGACUUGCCUCCAAGGUGUGCCUGCUAUAUAAACACUCCUUCAAGACAAGUUCCUGAAUUUUCCCCUUUAACCUCAUCCUCUCCUGAAGAGAAAUUCUGGACCCACCACUGGCUACAUCUCUUGCAUGAAGCGAAGUGGGGCGCAGGGCCUGUGGUCACGAGAGGGCCAUGCGCUCACGGAGCCUGGGUUCUGGAUCUCAUGGCUGGGAGCGUCAAGUGACCUGUUUUGAGCCAAUGGCAACUCUUCAACCAAGCAGCUGCUUCUUCGAGUGAUUGAGGAGAACUUGCCUUCAAUUCCCCUGUCUCUGUCUGUUCUAAGAUGGCUGCCAGAGUCAUCAUUGCUUUCAUCAUCUCUCUCUCCCGAUUAAGACCCUACACUCUGGCUUAUUUCUGAUUACUACAAGUCUGGACUCCUUAGCCUGCAAACAAUGAGCCUGGCUCAGUAAAUCAUAUUUUUCCGUCUUCUCCAUGGAGCAUCCCACUCCGCACGCCCUACU